rnacentral:tRNA from 1 species
AUUUAUAUAGUUUAAUAAAAACAUUACAUUUUCAUUGUAAAAUUAGAAGUUUUUCUUAUAAAUA